rnacentral:rRNA from 1 species
GUGGGGAAUUUUGGACAAUGGGCGCAAGCCUGAUCCAGCAAUGCCGCGUGCAGGAAGAAGGCCUUCGGGUUGUAAACUGCUUUUGUACGGAACGAAACGGUCCUGGUUAAUACCUGGGGCUAAUGACGGUACCGUAAGAAUAAGCACCGGCUAACUACGUGCCAGCAGCCGCGGUAAUACGUAGGGUGCGAGCGUUAAUCGGAAUUACUGGGCGUAAAGCGUGCGCAGGCGGUGCUGUAAGACAGGCGUGAAAUCCCCGGGCUCAACCUGGGAAUUGCGCUUGUGACUGCAGUGCUGGAGUGCGGCAGAGGGGGAUGGAAUUCCGCGUGUAGCAGUGAAAUGCGUAGAUAUGCGGAGGAACACCGAUGGCGAAGGCAAUCCCCUGGGCCUGCACUGACGCUCAUGCACGAAAGCGUGGGGAGCAAACAGGAUUAGAUACCCCGGUAGUCC